rnacentral:rRNA from 2 species
UUCAUUUUACAAUGGAGAGUUUGAUCCCCAUUCCGAACAGAGCAGUCAAGCCCGCCAGAGCCGAUGGUAUUGCCGUAACAGGUGGGAGAGUAGGUCGGUGCCUUUUU